rnacentral:rRNA from 1 species
GAUGAACGAUGGAGGCGGGCUUCCUACCUCCCAUCCGACCGCACAGACGAGGAGAUCGCCCUUAUCACGUUAGCGGCGGACGGGUCAGUCACACGUGGAUAAGCCACCUUUUAACCAGAGAUAACUACGGGAAGCCGGCGCUAAUACCGGAUCAUUUCUUGCACCCCAUGAUACAACAGUAAAUGACGCUCAUGCUAACACUCAUGGAUUGAUCCGCGCCGCAUUAGCUAGUAGGAAAGGUAACGGCUUCCCAAGGCAACGAUGCGUAGCCGACCUGACAGGGUGAUCGGCCAGACUGGAACUGAGACACGGUCCAGACGCCAACGGAAGGCAGCAGUAGCGAAUCUUCCGCAAUGGGCGAAAGCCUAACGGAGCAACGCCGCGUGAGUUAUGAAGGUCUUCCGAGCGUAAAACUCUGUUAUUAGGGAAGAACAAAUGUGUAAGUAACUAUGCACGUCUUGACGGUACCUAAUCAGAGAGCCACGACUAACUACGUG